rnacentral:lncRNA from 1 species
AUUAUCUUGUUCCUAAGUUGUUGGAUAUUUAUUUUGCAGUUAAUAUUGUAAUGAACUGUGACACUGAGAAAAUAUAGGUGAAAUGAGACAACAAUUGUAUGAAAAAUCAUAAGUAACUGGAGAGUUACAAAUAUAGGUAGAAUUACAUCAAAUGGCAUUUCAUUGUAAAUUUGUGUAUAAAAAUGAUGUAUUAUACAAUGAUAAUUAUUAUAUUAGUGGAAAUCAAUAGUAUAUGGGCAUUGUAUUAUAAUAAUGUACUAAAUGGUUAGAUUUAUGUUUCAUACAGUGCUUUAAUCUAAAUCCCAAUACAGCACUUACAACCAUGUUCUAGCUUUGGAGAUAAUAUUGAUGUCAGAGCAUCUUUUUGUUUUAUAACAGUGAUAGAAAGAAAACUUAUUUAUUAUAAAUCACAAGGUUAGUUAGCAUGUUAUUUGUAUCAUUUUAUCAUAGCUAUUUCAUAAUUCAGGGAUGACUAAAUACCUCUUUACACACAUGCAACUUAAUGUAAGAAAGAAAUUCUGCUGACUAUGUUACAAUUCAUUCUUAUCAGGUUGUUUACAAUGUUAAGAUAAACAUGUAAUGUAAGUAAAACCUAUGUAUGUGUACUAUUUUAAAUGGAGUCAUAAAAUAUGCCAUGAUAAACUAUACCAAAACUUUUCGAUUUUACCCUCAAAAAGUGUCAGAUUUUGCCCCACAAAACUAACAACAGUGCAGAUGAUAUGUGAUAAAAACAUUUGACAUGUUUAAGAGAUGUUUUUUAGUAUUUUUAAAGGUCAAAUAAUGAAAAAAAGGACUCAUUUGGUUCAAAACUUUGGGUUUUAACUUCUAAUUUUAUCUUAAUUUUUAUGAGUGGUAGGAUGAAAUUUUUUAAACAGCACAUGACUAUAAUUAAAAUGAUAUCGAAACGACAAAAAAAGUAAAAAUCAAAUAUGUAUUGCUUGUUUUUAAAAUCUUUGUAGUCAAACAUAGCUUUGGAUUUGUAAGAAUGAGAGAAAGUAAAACUUUCAUUCCAUUUAGAGAUUAUAGUUUAUUGUGUGCAGGGUUAUCCACAAAAAAUGGUCAAAAAGUGGGAAGAAAUAUUUCCUAUGCUCACAAUCAAUAAGAGAUAUGAGCAUUAGUUUUCUUAAGAGUCACUCAAACCCAAUACCCAUAUACGUUUUUCUAGAACAGCCCUUUACAAAAUAAUCUAAAAUGCCCUGAUAAUUUUCUAUUUAAAAUUUUGAGUCCAACAUGACACCAGAAUUUCUUAUUGUUACACGAAUACAUUCAGGAAAUAUGGCCUCAUCAAUUUUUGAUUAAGUAUUUUGGAUUGUUGAAUGAUAAAAAUAUUUUCAGUUAAACACUUCUGCUUUGUUAGUGCAGUCUUUUUUUAUAUAUAAAUAUCUAAUACCGUAAAAAGGCACAUGAAAAGUAAAUCACUAUAGAAAUGAUGGUUUUGUUAAGUUUGAGGAAAAGAAAUUAUCUCAGUUAGCCUUCUAUGGGAUAUGUUAUUUAUAGGGGGAAAAAAAUAAUUUAAAAAGAUGAAUGAUUUAAAAUUUAUGGUUUUGUUUAUUUUUUUUUUCCACUUUCUGCAAAACAAAUAUUCAGUAUGUAAAUAAACCAUAAUCUGCCAAAUUGUUGCAGAAAAAAUCCAAAAAACUUAAAAUAAAAUUUGUGUGGUCUAUUGAUACCAGUGCCCUUAUAAAAAAAUGUUUUACUCAAGAAGGUAGCAUUUUCUCAUGAACUUUCUGUAUGUAGUAUUCCCAGAUAAGUAGCUUAGGAUGAGUUGAAAUUUUUCAUAAGACGAUGUGUCACCAUUGAUCAGUUUGUUUACAUUAUGCUAUUCAGAAUUGUUGACCACUGUGCUAAUUUCAAACACUCCA